rnacentral:rRNA from 1 species
UACGUAGGGGGCGAGCGUUGUCCGGAUUUAUUGGGCGUAAAGAGCGUGUAGGCGGCCAGGUAGGUCUGCUGUGAAAACUCGAGGCUCAACCUCGAGACGUCGGCGGAAACCAUCUGGCUAGAGUCCGGAAGAGGAGAGUGGAAUUCCUGGUGUAGCGGUGAAAUGCGUAGAUAUCAGGAAGAACACCCGUGGCGAAGGCGGCUCUCUGGGACGGUACUGACGCUGAGACGCGAAAGCGUGGGGAGCGAACAGG